rnacentral:snoRNA from 1 species
CGCCUCUCAGGAUCACAUCUGGGGAGUUUCCAGUACUCUACCAGUCUCAGCUAAGGGAGGGAGAGUCAAGCAGAGGAAUAAUCAUUCCAUUUCUAGCUUAGGCAGUGGCUAGUGAGUGGAGGGCAAUCUGCUACAAAU